GAAGAAGAAGAAGAAGAAGAAGAAGAAGAAGAAGGAGAAACAAAAUUUGUGUGCAUAGACUUGUAUGAUCCAUAGAGUCUUGAUUGAACCACAAAACUCUCAGACUCAGAUGUCCUGAAAACCUACUCCUGGUCUACAUGGCUCCCCUCUAUGCUUCCUGUCUUGCUGCUGUGCCCAUCUCUGAACAUCUGCCACAGUGCAUUUUAACCACCUCACAUUCCAAGGUACCUGGUCCUUGACAGAAGAAUUGAUAGGGAUCUUCACCUACCUGGUGCUUACCACAGAAACUGGAGCCCAUCAAGAAGAUUUCAGCAUGUGCUUUGUGCCUGUCUGCGUGAGAAGGAUGGGCUACUGUGUGUAUCACCUCCCAGAACAGUGUUCUCAGUCUGGGUGUCAAAAACUCUUUGUGGCUGACACACAGCAUGUGGAGUCCAAAUGCAUGCAAACUGUGAAUAUAGUGAGGCUUUCUGUGGUGAUUGUGCAGAGUGCUGACAAGCUGCUGUAAUUUGGGGACUUUUGCAAUGAUCUCAAGUCAUCAGUUAUAAUGUCUUAGAGUGGGGUACAUUUACAUUGUCUCCUUGCUUCCCUCAAAUCUCCUGCCUGAUCCCCUUGCUUGUUUUAGUUUUAUUCUCUACUAAAGGCUUCUCCAAGCAUCAGACAUGCAGGAGUCACAGAACCCAAGGUCUAAAGCUCUUUGGUAUCAGUCUUAAGGAUGACACAGUCCACUUCUUAUCCUUGGUAUUUUGCCUACAAUU